AUCAUAGUAUACAUUUUAUCUUAUAAUAUUUUGCAAGAACACAUUUUCCUUAAAGAUUGAAAUAUCCAAUCAGGUCUGUUGAAAUUUGGAUAUUCAAACCAACCAAUCAGAACUGUGCAACUACUCAUCGCGGCAGUUUUGAAACCGGAUCUGACCAGAGAAGAAAUUGAACAACACACCACACCCCUGUUUUGUUUUGGUCGGUUGUUAGAGUAGCGUUUUUAAUCUCUACACCUCCUAGUAGUCUCUCCAGCUCAAAUACAAAUACACGGCAUUGUUUCUCUAAUCAUGGACGAAGCGGGACCCGAUAGCAAACUGUGCAGAAAAGAGCUGCGUAAACAAAAACUGAUGGAAUACUUGGCAGCGAAAGGAAAGUUAAAGCCACCAAACCCAAAGCCUUACCUACGUAAUGACUACCCAGGGAAGAAGUCUAUCGUGUCUGCACUGGAGCCAGCCAACGGAAAAGAGAACCAGCGUGCGACCGCUGUCAUGAAACAUGAAGUGACAAAUACAGUGAAACAAGUAGCUAAACAUGGCGUACAACCCACUGUUAAAGCACAAGUUAAACAGAGUUUCACAAGAGGUGGUAUCUUAUCUGCCUCACAAAGUGUCAAC
ensembl:lncRNA